rnacentral:rRNA from 1 species
ACACGAACCGUACUAACGUUAUUCGGAAUCACUGGGCUUAAAGGGUGCGUAGGCGGUCCUGCAAGUUGGGUGUGAAAGCCCUCGGCUUAACCGAGGAACUGCGCCCAAAACUGACGGACUAGAGGGAGACAGAGGUGAGCGGAACUUAGGGUGGAGCGGUGAAAUGCGUUGAUAUCAUAAGGAACACCAGUGGCGAAAGCGGCUCACUGGGUCUCUUCUGACGCUGAGGCACGAAAGCUAGGGGAGCGAACGGGAUUAGAAACCCCAGUAGCCC